rnacentral:rRNA from 1 species
UACGUAGGGGGCAAGCGUUGUCCGGAAUCAUUGGGCGUAAAGAGCGUGUAGGCGGCUCGGUAAGUCCGCUGUAAAAGUCCAGGGCUCAACCCUGGAAAGCCGGUGGAAACUGUCGAGCUAGAGUCCGGAAGAGGCGAGUGGAAUUCCUGGUGUAGCGGUGAAAUGCGCAGAUAUCAGGAGGAACACCGGUGGCGAAGGCGGGUCUCUGGGCCGAUACUGACACUGAGGAGCGAAAGCGUGGGUAGCAAACAGG